rnacentral:rRNA from 1 species
UACAGGGGGGGCAAGCGUUGUUCGGAAUUACUGGGCGUAAAGGGUUCGUAGGUGGCCAACUUAGUCAGACGUGAAAUCCCUCAGCUUAACUGGGGAACUGCGUCUGAUACUGGAUGGCUUGAGUGCAGGAGAGGAACGCGGAAUUCCUGGUGUAGCGGUGGAAUGCGCAGAUAUCAGGAGGAACACCGAUGGCGAAGGCAGGUCACUGGGCCGCAACUGACGCUGAGGAGCGAAAGCAUGGGGAGCGAACAGG